CAAACCCCUGUGACAUACCUAUACGUUGCCUCGGCGGAUCAGCCCGCGCCCCGUAAAAAGGUACGGCCCGCCCGAGGACCCCUAAACUCUGUUUUUAGUGGAACUUCUGAGUAAAACAAACAAAUAAAUCAAAACUUUCAACAACGGAUCUCUUGGUUCUGGCAUCGAUGAAGAACGCAGCAAAAUGCGAUAAGUAAUGUGAAUUGCAGAAUUCAGUGAAUCAUCGAAUCUUUGAACGCACAUUGCGCCCGCCAGUAUUCUGGCGGGCAUGCCUGUUCGAGCGUCAUUUCAACCCUCAAGCUCAGCUUGGUGUUGGGACUCGCGGUAACCCGCGUUCCCCAAAUCGAUUGGCGGUCACGUCGAGCUUCCAUAGCGUAGUAAUCAUACACCUCGUUACUGGUAAUCGUCGCGGCCACGCCGUAAAACCCCAACUUCUGAAUGUUGACCUCGGAUCAGGUAGGAAUACCCGCUGAACUUAAGCAUAUCAAUAAGCGGAGGAA
rnacentral:rRNA from 1 species